rnacentral:lncRNA from 1 species
UUUGAUUAUUUUAGAUAUAGUUUGAUUUUUCCUUUUAGAAGUUGUUGUUAUUUUGAGAAUGGAUAUAUCUCUAACUCUUCAUUUUGUUGCAAUGCUGGUUUGUAAACUUCAAAAUAGAUUAAAUUUUUCCUUUUAGAAGUUGUUGUUAUUUUGAGAAUGGAUAUAUCUCUAACUCUUCAUUUUGUUGCAAUGCUGGUUUGUAAACUUCAAAAUA